UACGGAGGGAGCUAGCGUUGUUCGGAAUUACUGGGCGUAAAGCGCGCGUAGGCGGCUUUGUAAGUUAGAGGUGAAAGCCCGGAGCUCAACUCCGGAACUGCCUUUAAGACUGCAUCGCUUGAAUCCGGGAGAGGUGAGUGGAAUUCCGAGUGUAGAGGUGAAAUUCGUAGAUAUUCGGAAGAACACCAGUGGCGAAGGCGGCUCACUGGACCGGUACUGACGCUGAGACGCGAAAGCGUGGGGAGCGAACAGG
rnacentral:rRNA from 1 species